UACAGAGAGUGCGAGCGUUAAUCGGAAUUACUGGGCGUAAAGCGCACGUAGGUGGAUAUUUAAGUCAGAUGUGAAAGCCCCGGGCUUAACCUGGGAAUUGCAUUUGAUACUGGGUGUCUUGAAUAUAGUAGAGGGAAGUGGAAUUUCCGGUGUAGCGGUGAAAUGCGUAGAUAUCGGAAGGAACAUCAGUGGCGAAAGCGGCUUCCUGGACUAAUAUUGACACUUAGGUGCGAAAGCCAGGGGAGCAAACGGG
rnacentral:rRNA from 1 species